AGCUCACUGCAGUCUCCCAGGCGGAGGUUGCAGUGAUUGGGUGACACAGCAAGACUCUGUCUCCAAAAAAAAAGAGUUACUCUUCCUUGGAGUUUGGCAUAACUAGGCACAGUGUCCUAAAAUGAAGGUGGAAAGCUGUGACCAGGGACAUGCCAGUGGUGGAGGAAGCCUGAGAAGCUGAGCUGCCUUCCUUUCCCUAUCCCGGUGACCACAUUGUACUUCGUAGCCUGCUCAUUAAAUUAGGUAUGGGGCAAAAAACCAAGAUAGGAGUGCAAAUUUGGUUACCCUCUUCACUUAACUAACAGUGAAUCUAGAGGUUUUCUUCCUCAAAUAAAGCUUUAUUGCAGUUGUUGGAAAGACGCAGAGCACCAGAAAUCUUUAGGAAAUAGUAGACAUAAAUGUUCUGGCGUUGAUGCAUCCCCUCUCCAUUGGCCUCUCCUGUAUUUUUUUUUUUUGAAGUGAACAUAAACUCAAGAUUUUAUUGUAUUCAUAAUAAAAGAUGACACUUAGAACUGGAUCACUUGGCCCUUUUUCCGGAAAAUCGGCUUAGUUUGCCCACCA
rnacentral:lncRNA from 1 species